AAAAACUGAGGUGGGGUAAGAUGGACCCGCGUCUGAUUAGCUAGUUGGUGAGGUAACGGCCCACCAAGGCGACGAUCAGUAGCCGGCCUGAGAGGGUGGACGGCCACAUUGGGACUGAGACACGGCCCAAACUCCUACGGGAGGCAGCAGUGGGGGAUAUUGGACAAUGGGGGGAACCCUGAUCCAGCGACGCCGCGUGAGUGAAGAAGUAUCUCGGUAUGUAAAGCUCUAUCAGCAGGGAAGAAGAAAUGACGGUACCUGAGUAAGAAGCCCCGGCUAACUACGUGCCAGCAGCCGCGGUAAUACGUAGGGGGCAAGCGUUAUCCGGAAUUACUGGGUGUAAAGGGAGCGUAGACGGUGAUGUAAGUCUGGAGUGAAAGGCGGGGGCCCAACCCCCGGACUGCUCUGGAAACUAUGUGACUGGAGUGCAGGAGAGGUGAGCGGAAUUCCUAGUGUAGCGGUGAAAUGCGUAGAUAUUAGGAGGAACACCAGUGGCGAAGGCGGCUCACUGGACUGUAACUGACGUUGAGGCUCGAAAGCGUGGGGAGCAAACAGGAUUAGAUACCCUGGUAGUCCACGCCGUAAACGAUGAUCACUAGGUGUGGGUGGGUAUGGACCCAUCG
rnacentral:rRNA from 1 species